rnacentral:lncRNA from 1 species
UGUACUAUUCUAGGAGAUUUGAAAUCAUAUUAACAUGAAUGAUGAAUAUAUUAAUCAGAUUUAACGAGUUAAGAGACAUAACUAAUGUUCCAUUUCAAGCGGAGAGGGGACACACGUGGGUUGGCCACCCUAGCUCUACAACUCCAAUCCAAAAAACUGCUCUCUCCUUUCUAAAAAAAAAAACAAGUAAUAUUCACACUCGGUAGUAUCGUAUUAUUUUAGUUUGAUUAUUAUAAACAUACUUGAGUCUUCC